UACAGAGGAUGCAAGCGUUAUCCGGAAUGAUUGGGCGUAAAGCGUCUGUAGGUGGCUUUUUAAGUCCGCCGUCAAAUCCCAGGGCUCAACUCUGGACAGGCGGUGGAAACUACCAAGCUGGAGUACGGUAGGGGCAGAGGGAAUUUCCGGUGGAGCGGUGGAAUGCGUAGAGAUCCGGAAGAACACCGGUGGCGAAGGCGGCCUGCUGGGCAGUAGCUGACACUGAGGCGCGACAGCGUGGGGAGCAAACAGG
rnacentral:rRNA from 1 species